rnacentral:lncRNA from 1 species
ACACAUUAAACACAUCAUAAGAGAUAUAUGCAAAUUAGGUUAAAAUUUUGAUAUUUUCGCUCAAGCUUAAGAUCUGCUCGUUAAAUUAGUAGGGCUUGAUAGAACACUCACUCGGGCACCAGAUAUGCUCAUUAAGCUAGUAGGGCCUGAUAGCACACUCGCUCAGUCAACAAAUUUGCUCACUCAACUAGUAGGACCUGACAAUACAGAUGCCAAAUCAACCAACCAUCUAUCAUACACAAUUCAAUUACUCAAUUCACCAAAUGCAAUAUCAACCACACAAUAUAUCAACAUUUCAACAUAUAUAAUCACCAAUCAAAACCCCUUACUCAACUCGACGGGUCAUAUUUCAUCAGACAUUUCAAUUACACAACCCAACUAUCAUACAAGAUACAAUAAGUAAUUAUAAGUUCUUAUGAGUUAAAAUCAAUGAAAUUAGCUCCCUUUACUUGAUAGAUGACAAAACUAUUAUAGAAAGCCUAUAACAAAUCCAAAUGCGCAAGAAAACAUAUAUGCUCAUAUGAACAACAAAAACACGGUUAGGAAACACGGUAAAAACCACUAAUUAGUAGAGAGUCUUGUAGAGUACCCAAAUACCACAUGCAACCCUAGAUAACUC